UACGAAGGGGGCUAGCGUUGUUCGGAAUUACUGGGCGUAAAGCGCACGUAGGCGGGCGAUUAAGUCAGGGGUGAAAUCCCGGAGCUCAACUCCGGAACUGCCUUUGAUACUGGUCGUCUAGAGAUCGGAAGAGGUGAGUGGAAUUCCCAGUGUAGAGGUGAAAUUCGUAGAUAUCGAGAGGAACACCGGUGGCGAAGGCGGCCUUCUGGACAGUGACUGACGCUGAGACGCGAAAGCGUGGGGAGCAAACAGG
rnacentral:rRNA from 1 species